CAAAAAUGCACAUGCUGUGAGCUCGAUGAGUAGGGCGGGACACGUGGUAUCCUGUCUGAAUAUGGGGGGACCAUCCUCCAAGGCUAAAUACUCCUGACUGACCGAUAGUGAACCAGUACCGUGAGGGAAAGGCGAAAAGAACCCCGGCGAGGGGAGUGAAAAAGAACCUGAAACCGUGUACGUACAAGCAGUGGGAGCCUCUUUAUGGGGUGACUGCGUACCUUUUGUAUAAUGGGUCAGCGACUUAUAUUCUGUAGCAAGGUUAACCGAAUAGGGGAGCCGAAGGGAAACCGAGUCUUAACUGGGCGUUAAGUUGCAGGGUAUAGACCCGAAACCCGGUGAUCUAGCCAUGGGCAGGUUGAAGGUUGGGUAACACUAACUGGAGGACCGAACCGACUAAUGUUGAAAAAUUAGCGGAUGACUUGUGGCUGGGGGUGAAAGGCCAAUCAAACCGGGAGAUAGCUGGUUCUCCCCGAAAGCUAUUUAGGUAGCGCCUCGUGAAUUCAUCUCCGGGGGUAGAGCACUGUUUCGGCAAGGGGGUCAUCCCGACUUACCAACCCGAUGCAAACUGCGAAUACCGGAGAAUGUUAUCACGGGAGACACACGGCGGGUGCUAACGUCCGUCGUGAAGAGGGAAACAACCCAGACCGCCAGCUAAGGUCCCAAAGUCAUGGUUAAGUGGGAAACGAUGUGGGAAGGCCCAGACAGCCAGGAUGUUGGCUUAGAAGCAGCCAUCAUUUAAAGAAAGCGUAAUAGCUCACUGGUCGAGUCGGCCUGCGCGGAAGAUGUAACGGGGCUAAACCAUGCACCGAAGCUGCGGCAGCGACGCUUAUGCGUUGUUGGGUA
rnacentral:rRNA from 1 species